rnacentral:rRNA from 1 species
GGGUCCGGACACACUGAGGAUUGACAGAUAUACGCUCAUUGCUGCGUGCUUCGGCGCGUGCUUUGAGCUGAAAGAUGCUAGUUCUUUCAUGAUUAUGUGAUAGGUGGUGCAUGGCCGUUCUUAGUUCGUGGAGUGAUCUGUCUGCUUAAUUGCGUAUCAAUAAUAGAGACCUAGUAUACGCGUGGAUUUCGCGUGGUAGUGACCCCCUGUUUAACGACAGGCGUGUGUCGCACACGCGUACCUACGCACUGGUCUCAGAUAGCAACGAACGUGACCGUAUUCUAUUGUUGCAGUGAAAUGUGCCUUCUGGGUACGACCCACUGCUUAGUAUAUGUACGUGCUUCGGCGCGAACAAUAUACAUUAAACUAUAGAGACCGCUGUUUCUUCUUUAAACCAGAGGAAGGAUACGGCAAUAACAGGUCUGUGAUGCCCUCAGAUGUUCCGGGCUGCACACGUGCUACAAUGAUCAUUGCACUGUGCAUCUAACCCAAUGUGCGUGGACGCCGCAUGCAUGUGCCUUCGGGUACACGCAUUGCUGUUGCGACCACGCCGAACCUACUUCGAAAGUAAAAUUUCUCAGUGGGU